AUAAUAAAUUAUCUUCCUACUGACCGUCCCUAGAGCAAGUGGCAAAGGGCUUGGUGGCUGGUACUCGAGAUCCUAAGUUCGAAUCCUAGUUGAUUCACAUUUUCAGCUAAGUUUAUUUCUAAAAAAAAUAAACGAAGCGGGUACCGUGUUACCUAUCUUUCAAAAAAAAAUAAUAAUAAAUUAUCUUCCUAUACUUUACCUAUCUUUCAAAAAAAAUAAUAAUAACUUAUCUUCCUAUACUUUAGCUGUGACUCGAAUGUCCUCCUUAACAAGUUGCAUUAUUUUUUUACGCCGUAUGUUAUAAAUGUUUUAAAUUAAUAAUGAAUUCAUACAUUAAGGGCUAGUUUGGUUCAUUCAUUUUGGAUAUGGAAUGGAAAUCGGUUUGAUCAAAUCUGAUUAAUUUUGUUUGAUUUACAGGAAUCGGUUUGGGAUUCCUAUUCCGGACUGUAAUGGGAAUGGUCCAU
rnacentral:lncRNA from 1 species